CGGCGCACGGGUGCGUAACGCGUAUGCAACCUACCUUUCACAGGGGGAUAGCCCGAAGAAAUUUGGAUUAAUACCCCAUAAUAUUAUUGGAUGGCAUCAUUUGAUAAUUAAAGCUACGACGGUGAAAGAUGGGCAUGCGUCCUAUUAGCUAGUUGGAGUGGUAACGGCACCCCAAGGCUACGAUAGGUAGGGGUCCUGAGAGGGAGAUCCCCCACACUGGUACUGAGACAGGGACCAGACUCCUACGGGAGGCAGCAGUGAGGAAUAUUGGUCAAUGGUCGGAAGACUGAACCAGCCAUGCCGCGUGCAGGAAGAAUGCCUUAUGGGUUGUAAACUGCUUUUAUAUGGGAAGAAUAAGGCGUACGUGCACGUUGAUGACGGUACCAUAUGAAUAAGC
rnacentral:rRNA from 1 species